rnacentral:rRNA from 1 species
UACGGAGGGUGCAAGCGUUGUCCGGAAUCACUGGGCGUAAAGGGCGCGUAGGCGGCUCAUGAAGGCUGUGGUGAAAGUCCGGGGCUCAACCUCGGAUCGGCCGUGGCGACUCGUGGGCUGGAGCACUGUAGAGGCGGGUGGAAUUCCGGGUGUAGCGGUGGAAUGCGUAGAGAUCCGGAAGAACACCAGUGGCGAAGGCGGCGACCUGGACGGACACUGACGCUGAGACGCGAAAGCGUGGGGAGCAAACAGG